UAUGCCCGAGUUGUAAUUUAGAGAGGAUGCUUUUGGUGCUGGUGCUGCCCGAGUUCCCUGGAAUGGGACGCCACAGAGGGUAAGAGCCCCGUCUGGCUAGCACCUAGGGCCUCUAUAAAGCUCCUUCGACGAGUCAGUAGUUUGGGAAUGCUGCUCAAAGCGGGAGGUAUAUGUCUUCUAAAGCUAAAUACCGGCUAGAGACCGAUAGCGCACAAGUAGAGUGAUCGAAAGAUGAAAAGCACUUUGAAAAGAGGGUUAAACAGUACGUGAAAUUGCUAAAAGGGAAGCGCUUAUAACCAGACGUGGGACGGGGGAUCAGCCAGUAGCACUGGUGUACUCUGCUGUCCUGGGCCAGCAUCGGUUUGCCACAGGGGAUAAAGACGCAGGGAACGUGGCCCUUUUAGGGUGUUAUAGCCCUGUGUGGAAUACUCCGCGGCAGACCGAGGAACGCGUAACAAGGAUGCUGGCGUAAUGGUUAUUAGUGACCCGUCUUGAAACACGGACCAAGGAGUCGUCCUUGUAUGCGAGUGUUUGGGUGUCAAACCCUAGCGCGGAAUGAAAGUGAACGUGGGUAAGAGCCUUCUGGGCGCAUUACCGACCGAUCCUGAAGUUCGUCAGAUGGAUUUGAGUAGGAGCAUACAGGGCCGGACCCGAAAGAAGGUGAACUAUGCCUGCGUAGGGUGAAGCCAGAGGAAACUCUGGUGGAGGCU
rnacentral:rRNA from 2 species